rnacentral:misc_RNA from 1 species
AGAUUGCUUUGUCGUGGUAUACAACACGGCAUUAUUUGAAAAUUGUGUCGUGACCUAAAUUGUGUGAAUUGUGACAACACUAGUGUUUGAAAUUAUUUUGAUAAAAUGAUUUUGAAAAUAUGAAUGUUAGAUAAUGAUUUAUAAAUGGAUGAAUAUGAAGAACUCUUAUUACAUUUUUAGUGGUUUGUGUUUAUUUCAAGUAUUAAAUUAUAG